GCUCUGGGAACGGCACGGCCGGGAGGCUGCAGGCACCUGCUCCUCCCAAAUCCCGCGGAUUUACCGCUCCUGGCACCUUCCUGCUGCCACUGGCUCCAUCCCAGGGAAUCUCCCGAGGGACAGAAGUGGGAAAGCAGCACUUAGAGGUUACAAUUCCUUCUUUUUCUGCGCUGCUCCUGAAUCCUGGCUCUGGAGGAGGAAGGAUCCCAUGCACUCCUGGAGGACAAAUCCUGCUGCUCCCAGGCCCUCCCACGUGAAAACCAAAGGGAAAUGUUCAUCCAGGGAUUUUGCACCCGAGGAGCCGCGAGUUUCACCUCCGAGUAAAAGAAGUUUGUGCGACCUUGUCCCCUCCCAGCCUCGUGUGCAUCCCUGGGAGGCAAAAAUCUGGUUAAAAAACUCAAUUUCGGCUUUUAAUUUAACUUAAUUUAAGCUUUUAAAUUGAAGCCCGACUGUUGCUCACCUGCCUUUCUAACAAAAAGGAGUUUUUGAGGUGAUAUUUUUGCCCUUCCUGGGGUGCAUCUGCCCAGCCAGGACAUCCCCCGUGCCCUGGGAGCCGCGCUGUGCCCUUGGCCUCUGGAAUGCUCUUUUCAUUGAUAUUUUCUGGGAACAAAAAAUGCCGGCUUUGUAUCCACUGCCCCUUUCUUUGCCCACGCAGAAGGGGAGGGAGAGGAGGGGGGGAAAAAAACCCACUCAAAUAUUUUCUUGUAACAAAAGGCUGCGGGUGAAUCUGGAUCAGCCUCUCUGCUCCGUCUCAGGCCAAAUCUCCAGGGUUUUUCAGCGGAGAAAUUAAAACACUGGAGCUUUCUCUUUUCUCCCGCAGAACAAACAGGAGCGGUUCCCACUUCCUCCCGCUCAUAAACAAAACCAGCCCGACGUCUCCAGGAGAAACCCUGCCAGGAGACUUUCCUUCCUAAUUGUU
rnacentral:lncRNA from 1 species